GAUGAACGCUGGCGGCGUGCCUAAUACAUGCAAGUAGAACGCUGAAGGAAGGAGCUUGCUCUUUCCGGAUGAGUUGCGAACGGGUGAGUAACGCGUAGGUAACCUGCCUGGUAGCGGGGGAUAACUAUUGGAAACGAUAGCUAAUACCGCAUAACAGUAGAUGUUGCAUGAUAUCUACUUAAAAGGUGCAAUUGCACCACUACCAGAUGGACCUGCGUUGUAUUAGCUAGUUGGUGAGGUAACGGCUCACCAAGGCGACGAUACAUAGCCGACCUGAGAGGGUGAUCGGCCACACUGGGACUGAGACACGGCCCAGACUCCUACGGGAGGCAGCAGUAGGGAAUCUUCGGCAAUGGACGGAAGUCUGACCGAGCAACGCCGCGGGAGUGAAGAAGGGUUUCGGAUCGUAAAGCUCUGUUGUAAGAGAAGAACGAGUGUGAGAGUGGAAAGUUCACACUGUGACGGUAUCUUACCAGAAAGGGACGGCUAACUACGUG
rnacentral:rRNA from 1 species